UUCCACAUCUCUUAUCUCUUUUUCUGCCCCAAAAGUCUUCUCCUUGCCUUAUUUUCUUGGCUGCAUCAGAUCAAAAUUCCAGCCCCUCUUUCCCUACUCUUUUCCUUGUUCUUUGUUUCUUUCUUCUCCCCUUAUUACAUGGCAGCCCUCCCUCUCUCACCAAAGCAAAAUAUCCCACUCUAAAGAAGAAAUUAAAGGGUUAACACUAAAAUUUCAGCUUCAAAUUGUUGGGGGUGGCGAGAACGAGAACACGGACACUUGAACUCCUCGUAUACAAUCUCUCGCGCCUUUUGUUUUCAGUGCACAGGUUCUUCCUGAAAGCAGCGAGAGUAUUAGAGGUAGCAAGAAUUUUGUGUUUUCUCGUUUGUUAGAAUGUAGAGUUUUGUUGUAUCGCAGUUAGCUCUUUUGUUGUAUAGGAGGAAUCAAGAUGUACUUGAUCCUUUGAGCACGGAUGUAAUUCAGUACCUUAGUUUGUUUUGAACCCCAGUUGUAUGUCUUUGGGGUUAGGUUUGUAAUAAGAGUUUUGCUAAACGUUUAGCUAUGUAAUAUUUACGUGAAUACCUUAAGUUUCAGCCAGGUGGUAAUUUUCCAAGUUCAAAGGAAAUCAGAUUUCAAGGUUUCCAUC